AUCCCUUCUCGGCCUUUUGGCUAAGAUCAAGUGUAGUAUAUAUAUUAUAGUGUCUUGUUAAGUUAUUAAAUUGUCCAGGGUAAGCUCAAAGUUUUGAUCCUUUUUUUUUUUUUGGUACUGGGGAUCAAGCUCAGGACCUUGUGCUUGGGAGGCAGGCAUGGUGCCACUGAGCUAUAACCCUGGCUCAAAGUUUU
rnacentral:snRNA from 1 species